AUUUCUAGCUUGCUAGAAGAUGACGAGCGGCGGACGGGUGAGUAAUACUUAGGAAUCUACCUAGUAGUGGGGGAUAGCUCGGGGAAACUCGAAUUAAUACCGCAUACGACCUACGGGAGAAAGGGGGCAACUUGUUGCUCUCGCUAUUAGAUGAGCCUAAGUCGGAUUAGCUAGAUGGUGGGGUAAAGGCCUACCAUGGCGACGAUCUGUAGCUGGUCUGAGAGGAUGAUCAGCCACACCGGGACUGAGACACGGCCCGGACUCCUACGGGAGGCAGCAGUGGGGAAUAUUGGACAAUGGGGGAAACCCUGAUCCAGCCAUGCCGCGUGUGUGAAGAAGGCCUUUUGGUUGUAAAGCACUUUAAGCAGUGAAGAAGACUCUUCGGUUAAUACCCGGAGACGAUGACAUUAGCUGCAGAAUAAGCACCGGCUAACUCUGUGCCAGCAGCCGCGGUAAUACAGAGGGUGCAAGCGUUAAUCGGAAUUACUGGGCGUAAAGCGAGCGUAGGUGGCUUGAUAAGUCAGAUGUGAAAUCCCCGGGCUUAACCUGGGAACUGCAUCUGAUACUGUCAGGCUAGAGUAGGUGAGAGGAAGGUAGAAUUCCAGGUGUAGCGGUGAAAUGCGUAGAGAUCUGGAGGAAUACCGAUGGCGAAGGCAGCCUUCUGGCAUCAUACUGACACUGAGGCUCGAAAGCGUGGGUAGCAAACAGGAUUAGAUACCCUGGUAGUCCACGCCGUAAACGAUGUCUACUAGUCGUUGGGUCCCUUGAGGACUUAGUGACGCAGCUAACGCAAUAAGUAGACCGCCUGGGGAGUACGGCCGCAAGGUUAAAACUCAAAUGAAUUGACGGGGGCCCGCACAAGCGGUGGAGCAUGUGGUUUAAUUCGAUGCAACGCGAAGAACCUUACCUGGUCUUGACAUAUCUAGAAUCCUGCAGAGAUGCGGGAGUGCCUUCGGGAAUUAGAAUACAGGUGCUGCAUGGCUGUCGUCAGCUCGUGUCGUGAGAUGUUGGGUUAAGUCCCGCAACGAGCGCAACCCUUGUCCUUAGUUACCAGCGGGUUAAGCCGGGAACUCUAAGGAUACUGCCAGUGACAAACUGGAGGAAGGCGGGGACGACGUCAAGUCAUCAUGGCCCUUACGACCAGGGCUACACACGUGCUACAAUGGUAGGUACAGAGGGCAGCUACACAGCGAUGUGAUGCGAAUCUCAAAAAGCCUAUCGUAGUCCAGAUUGGAGUCUGCAACUCGACUCCAUGAAGUAGGAAUCGCUAGUAAUCGCGGAUCAGAAUGCCGCGGUGAAUACGUUCCCGGGCCUUGUACACACCGCCCGUCACACCAU
rnacentral:rRNA from 1 species